UAUAAAUGCAGGUAGAGAUACGCUGUAUACCUGUGUUUCCGAAUUAACGUUUAAGCGACAUGUAAUGUCGUCGGGCACAGGGCCGCCUUUGUGCGGUUUUUAUUU
rnacentral:sRNA from 1 species